rnacentral:rRNA from 1 species
GAUGAACGCUAGCUACAGGCUUAACACAUGCAAGUCGAGGGGCAGCAUGGUCUUAGCUUGCUAAGGCCGAUGGCGACCGGCGCACGGGUGAGUAACACGUAUCCAACCUGCCGUCUACUCUUGGACAGCCUUCUGAAAGGAAGAUUAAUACAAGAUUGCAUCAUGAGUCCGCAUGUUCACAUGAUUAAAGGUAUUCCUGUAUACGAUGGGGAUGCGUUCCAUUAGAUAGUAGGAGGGGUAACGGCCCACCUAGUCUUCGAUGGAUAGGGGUUCUGAGAGGAAGGACCCCCAAAUUGGAACAGAGACACGGGAAAAACUCCUACGGGAGGCAGGAGUGAGGAAUAAUGGUGAAAGGGCGAGAGACUGAACCAGCCAAGUAGAGUGAAGGAUGACUGCACUAUGGGUUGUAAACUUCUUUUAUAAAGGAAUAAAGUCGGGUAUGGAUACCCGUUUGCAUGUACUUUAUGAAUAAGGAUCGGCUAACUCCGU